AACAUCUUUAGCUGACCCCCUAAUUAAGUAUUCAAUAGUCCAAACUAUUAAAUGGGAAUGCAUCCCAUCAUGACCAGUCAUAAAGGGAAAAUAGUGACACUUUCCAGAUUCCACAUCCUGCUCAACUUAAGGCCAACUCCCUACAUAUCUUUCUCAUGAGGUGCAGUUGCAUAUACAGUAUAUAUUGAAUUGCCUAUAAUAUCACAAAAUUAUAUCACGUAAAAUGUAGAUCUGCAAGCGUUAAUGGGGAAUACUUUAAAAAUAAAUUAUUUGGAGGUUACCUAGAAUCCCGAGUUUUAUCAAAUUUAAUAGACAUACCGUAAGUUUGCUUUGGCACCUAGUCUUUCAUUGCUGCAACUCCCAAGGUCCAAUCUCAUUUUAAGAGCCAAGGCUUUUGUAUACUUCUUUAAGAGUUGAAGCCUCACCACACACUUGGACUUGGCUAAGGAAACAUUUUCAUGGUGUUCACAACGGUUGGAACACUUCAGUAACUAAUACAAUGACAUUGUACAAUGAUUCACUUCCCAGUGCAAUUGUUCACACUUCACAGUACAUUCAACUGUCCAAAGAUGCUCAAAAUGAGACUGGAAUAUGGCAAAGUAGAUUAAAUCAUGUAUUGUGUGAUGUAAGCAAAUGCCUGUCUUGGGAUCACACAUGACUGUCCACAAUUCACUGUUGCUUAUAUUGCCUUUAAAAUGAGUAGUCUUAUAAAUUGCAACUGCAAAAAUAUGUGCACUGAAUUUUAAUAUAUUUUUUAAACAAAUACAUAAUGGUAAAAACCAUACAUCAAAUGUUUGUACCUGCAGGGAUUACACACUGUAUGGUACCCUGUAUUACUGUUUAACAAUUUUAUAAUACCCAUAACAUAGUUCUGGAUCCAGUGUUACUAUACUUCCUCAAGUUACCUUUGAUUUAUAAUUGAAGGGGUUAUACUCUGUAUAGAAUUAAAUCUUUUAUAACAAAAGAGAGAAUGCUUCUAUCAAUCUAUUUUUCUUACAGGGGUUUAAAGAAUGUGACACAGAUAUCCAUCCAAGAAUCUGAUCUUGGCAUAGUGAAAGACAAGGCUUUUGAAGGCCUGUAUAAUGUUGGUGAACUGAGGAUUAUUAAUAACAAGGUAGAUGAACUGGAAUCAUUAGAGGUCUUGGAAGAAUCUAAUGUUGAUGGAGUCAUUGUCCAAGGUAAUCAUUUUCUUCAAGUCAACAAAGAACAACCCUUUCGCAUUCAUGCCAACCAACGGACAGUUGUCACAGGUAAUUAUGUGCCCUGUUCUUGUCAGUUAUGGUGGGUGCUGGAAUCUCCACUAGCCAAAAAUAAUUCUCUUUUUAUACGGCAUAACUACUGUGUUUCACCUUUUGUUCUUCAUGGUAAGGCUAUAACCACAGUGGAUCAGGAAAAUCUCCCACGAUGCCCUGCAUCUCAAGAGCUUCAACUCCCUAGUAACCAAGAUCCCUCAAAGGCAUCAUCUGCAACUGCAAGUGCAAGCACCAUCUCCAUAAAUAAUGCUAUCUUCUUUCUCCUUAUCUUCCCAUUUUGGUGACCUAACAUCCAGCUUGGAGGAACAAUGUGUUAAAUUUUACAAGUCAUACGUUGUACUGUACAGGUUAAGGAUGUUGUCAUCAAUGUUUAUGUUGUUCAGUUGACUUCACCUUCCAUCUUGUGAAGUACUAGUACACAUGCUUCAUAAACAAAUAUUUGAAACUCCACUCUUUAAAACUGUAAAUUUUGCUUUGUAUAAUGCUAACUAUGACAGUUAGUAUAAGCAUAUUUCUUUUCAGGGACCACAGAUUUUGUUCUGUUUGGUUAUUUAGUCAGAAAUUUUAAUUUUGAGUUGGAGUUUAAAGAAAACCUUAAUAAACUGGAAAAUAUGCUAAGGAAGUAACUCUGCAUCUUUAUAUGAUGAUAAAGCUGCAAGUCUACAUUUCUAAAACAUUCAGCACCUGGUAGGUAAGCAGGAGACUGCAGAAGGAAAAAGGAUUACAAGGUGGUAGGUGAGACAUGAAUUUGGUAGCCUUUUAUUAUAUCUAAAAAGUUCCCUUGGGGUUCAGAAUUGUAUUGCUAGAAAAUAACUUAGAGCAUUAUUUUAUCAGCAAGCCAUAAUUAAUUAGCCUCAUGCCAUGCCAAAUAAAAAUCAUGCAACUGUACAUUGCCUUCUCUAUACAUUUAAGAGAUUUUCAAAAAUAUUGGCAUGCUUUAAUUGAUGAGGUGAAUGGAGAUUUUCAUAAAUAAUGUCCCCUCCAAAGGACCAGGACCUUUUUUAAUAUGUAUAACUAAAUUGGUAGGUAAUAAUUCAGUUCACAAACUAGAAACUCAAUUGCUUUAAUGAAAAACUGUUGAUAAGAAGUUUGGCACAAAAAACUUGAAAAUUUUAUAACUAUACAGUCCAGCUGUAUUAUGUUUUGCCUUCAUUGAAUUCAUCUUUAACACCUAAUAUAGAAAUAAGAAUUUCUGAGAGUAGGUAUUUUAUGGGAAUGAAAUUAGCAACAAACUUUAAGUCAUGAUGAGGCCUAAAAAUCAAGCAGAAACAGUGAGUGAGUUUAUCACUACUCUACUUCCUUGUUGGACGGGUGGUUUUCGUGCUCGCCUGCCAAUUUGGUGGUCCGAAGUUCAAUUCUCCAUUCGGCCAACACGGAAUCAGAGAAAUUUAUUUCUGGUGAUAGAAAUUUUCUCGAUAUAAUGUGGUUCGGAUCCCACAAUAAGCUGUAGGUCCCGUUGCUACGAAAUUUUUUGGUUCCUAGCCAAGUAAAAAAUAUCUAAUCCUUCAGGCCAGCCCUAGGAGAGCUGUUAAUCAGCUCAGUGGUCUGGUUAAACUAAGAUAUACUUAUCACUACUGUUUAUUUCUUGCCUAUGAUUCAUAAGAUAAAAGAAGAAUGCCUAUGAUAUGAUAAAUAAACAAGAAAUGCACCUAAAUUUCUUCAGCACAAUUGAGUUUCCUGUAUGGCGUGCUAUAAUGCUGUAUGAAACCCACCCAUGGCCCAUAAAACUCUCAGCAGUGGCCCAUGAAACUUUCAGCUAUGGCUCAGUGAUUGCCUCUAUGGUGCCAGACACACGAUCAUGACUAAUUUUAACCUUAAAUAAAAUCACAACUACUAAGGUAAGUGGUCUGCAAUUUGUAUGUUUGAUGAUUGGGUGGAUGAUCAACAUACCAAUUUACAGCCCUCUAGCCGCAGUAGUUUUUAAGAUCUGAGGGCGGACAGAAAAAGUACGGAUGGACAGAUAAAUAGCCAUCUCAAUAGUUUUCUUUUAAAGAAAACUAAAACUCGUGUAUUAUAAAUAAAUACAGAAGCUUAAGUUUUAAAAAUCCUUUACAUGUAUUCAACAAAAGUGAAGUUUCCAUAUUUUUUUCUUAUCACAAGACUGUCUUAUUCUCCCUGUCAUUCACUGUUGCUAUAAAUUUGUGAGUGUGAUAAACAUUUACUAAACAUGAAAUCAUCUUUAAGGAAGUGUUUUGACAUUCUGACACCUGUGCCUCCUUAUACUACUGUAUACUCAGGAUCUCUCGAUAAUUCAGAUUUUGUUUAAUAUCACUGUUAUUGGAUAACUUUAUGGGUAGAGGAUAUUUCCAACAAAGUUCAUACACUCACUACACUAAAUACUGUACUUAAUAUGUGUACCACUAAAUUUGUUAUAACACAAAUACAUUGGAUAAGCAAGAAUGUCCAUUUUAUAAUUUUCAUCAGUGCUUAUACUGUAUUUAUUCAUCAAGACCUCUUACUUGAAUUAGUAACAAGAUAAAACAUGCACAUGGCAGUUACCCUAAAGAUUGAGCAGUUACCCUAAAAUAUGAUGUCCAAAGAAUGAAAAGUGAAGAGACCCUACCUGCCACACCACUCACUAUCAACAAGAUAUUGACACAAUCUAUUGGAUUUAUUGUGAAGAAUUUUAAGUGCCAUAUGAGUGGUCAUAGAAUGUCAUUAUAAGAGAUUUACUGAAGAAGGAAUAUUUAUAUGCAAUAGACUUCUGCUCUACCACUGAUUAAAACAACAAAUUCCAUGAAGAAUAGUUGAAACACUGGAAGCCAUUCAUUGUUUUGAAACUUUUUUCUUAAACUGCUAAUACUGAUAUCCCUCAUUUGGGAAUAUCACUCAAAGAUAAUUGGAUGAUAAACCCCCUCAGUACAACCCCAGACUUUGUUACACUGUUGAUUGAUAUGUUUGCAUUGGCACAAUUACUAGUACUAAAGGUUCCUUGUCGAAUUCCUUCAGCUCAAGCCAAACUGUUUUUGGGUAAACUCAAAAUCCAUUUGCAUGAUCACAAGGUUGUGUGCAACCUGUAAAAUUUACAUUGGGUAAUAACAAAUACAUAUAGGCUAGUAACAGCAACAAACAUAAUAAGCAGGUUUUGAGGAAUGAAAAGCCUAUUUUUGGUAGUCGCUGUUAAUUCCUCAAAGGAGUUACCCUCCAUGGUGUGCUAGUGCUCUCCAUGGUGACUAGACUAAUAUCAAAGAAAUAUCUUUUAGCAUGGUCUUGUAGUCAGGUAUUGUGCUGUAAUGAUAAACACUAUGAGGUGAUAGAGGCCGACCCCAGUUUUCCCCACGUCAAAAUCUGGAAGAUGAAGUGACUAAUGCGAGUCAGCCAUCUUGUUUGUGACCGGGCUGGUUAAAAGACCAUGGACCAUUACUCUUUUGGUAAAUGUAAGAUGAUCCUUCACCCAAAUCCCAUGCUUUUUCAUCAGAAAAGUGCAGGGUUUUGAGGACUCAACAUAGUCGCUUUUUUCGUCCUCAAAGGAGCAUUAUAAAGAAAAUUGACAGGUGACCAAAGGCUUAAGCUUUAAAAAAAAUUUUAUCCUAACAACCCAGAGACAAAAACUAAAACAUUUCUGGCCUAAGGUCAAGCCACAAGUUUGGUAACAAAAACCAAUAAACUAAACAAGAACUUAUGUUUGUAGGGUGAAGCUCUAUAAUGACUCUUGUCGCACCUUCCCCAGCAAUAGUCAGCAUACCCAACCAUUAGGAAGACCCCUGGUGUUCCUUUUUAGUGCCUAUGGAGUUAGGGCUAACCAUACCACCUACUAUUACUACACAGUGUAGUUGAAUUUGUUUGAGCUCAUAGCAGUAAUGUUUUAAGAAUACAUACUGUUUGUGCUGGUACUGUCUGUGCUGACCACCCUGUACAUUUGGAGAACUCUUCGAAAGAGACAUUUCUGAAGAAAGCCAACAACGUACUUACCUUCUCCAAUGAGGGAUACUAAC